rnacentral:rRNA from 1 species
UACAGAGGGUGCAAGCGUUGUUCGGAAUUAUUGGGCGUAAAGGGAGUGUAGGCGGCUUGUUAAGUCUUCUGUGAAAUCUACGGGCUCAGCCUGUAACGUGCAGAGGAAACUGGCGAGCUUGAGUGUCGGAGAGGAUAGGGGAAUACCCGGUGUAGAGGUGAAAUUCGUAGAUAUUCGCAAGAACACCAGUGGCGAAGGCGGCUCACUGGCCCGGUACUGACGCUGAGGUGCGAAAGCGUGGGGAGCAAACAGG